CCAACGGCCCUCUUUAGGGCCACAUAAGGUGCAAAUGAAAGUGGUCU
rfam:Angiostrongylus costaricensis strain Costa Rica genome assembly, scaffold: ACOC_scaffold0000758